GCUUACUGCGCCACAGGUAGUCACACUCGGAGAGAUCGUCCAGGGAGCAGGUGGAGCUGAGAUGGAGACGGGGCUUGGAAGAGACAGAAGAGUCCUCCUCCUUGCGCUGGUGUGGCCUUGUUGAAGUAGGUGUGUCACUGUGAGUACGGGCUUUAAGACCCUUGUCCUAGCUGCCUGGAAGCCUUCAGAUGAAGAUGUAGAACUCUCAGCUCCUCCUGCACCAUGCCUGCCCGGACUCUGCCAUGCUCCUGCCUUGAUAAUAAUGGACUGACCCUCUGAAUCCUAUCUCUGACUGAGAAAGGAGGUACCAUAAUUUCCACUCCUGAUAACAGUCCCCUGGGUCAUGUUCAGCAGAUAUGUCCAGCUGUCCUUGUGUCUUUAUGGACAGAAUGAGCCCCUGC
ensembl:lncRNA